UACGGAGGGUGCAAGCGUUAUCCGGAUUUACUGGGUUUAAAGGGUGUGUAGGCGGACUUUUAAGUCAGCGGUGAAAUCUCCGGGCUCAGCCCGGAAACUGCCAUUGAUACUAUUGGUCUUGAAUAUUGUGGAGGUGGGCGGAACGGGUCAUGUAGCGGUGAAAUGCUUAGAGAUGACCCGGAACACCGAUUGCGAAGGCAGCCCACUACGCAAUGAUUGACGCUGAGGCACGAAAGCGUGGGGAUCAAACAGG
rnacentral:rRNA from 1 species